UAGUUAUUUCAGCUAUUAUGUAUUGGUGCACCCACUGAUGAGUUCCCCUUAUCAAUCCAUUUGAUGCCGAAAUCAGGGUCUUAGCCAACUUAGCCGACCAACAGUUCAGCUGUAAGUUUAAAAUAUUUAAUUUGGCAAGCUUAUAUGAUGGCUUUUGGACAUCCUUUUACUUUGUUGACAUUGCUGUAGUUUGGUACAGUAGUUAUAUUAAGUGAACUUGGGCCAUUCAACAUCAGUAAAAAAUAUUUUUACAAGAAUUUUGACCAAUUAUUUUGACUAUGAUGCUUACACUAAUUUCACUUUUGUUGCUCAAAUAUUUAAGAUGAAAUGGAUUGAUUACCAAAUUUAUAUGUACAUUUGCAACUAAUUGAAUCACCAAACAUGCAAAAUACCAUUAGUUUAACACAAUUAAUUGAUGUUAAUGUGAAUUGUUGUGCUGUAUGGUAACACAACAAACCAG